rnacentral:rRNA from 1 species
UAGGGAAUCUUCCGCAAUGGACGCAAGUCUGACGGAGCAACGCCGCGUGAGUGAAGAAGGAUUUCGGUUCGUAAAACUCUGUUGUUAGAGAAGAACAGCGCAUAGAGUAACUGUUAUGCGUGUGACGGUAUCUAACCAGAAAGCCACGGCUAACUACGUGCCAGCAGCCGCGGUAAUACGUAGGUGGCAAGCGUUGUCCGGAUUUAUUGGGCGUAAAGCGAGCGCAGGCGGUCAAUUAAGUCUGAUGUGAAAGCCCCCGGCUCAACCGGGGAGGGUCAUUGGAAACUGGUUGACUUGAGUGCAGAAGAGGAGAGUGGAAUUCCAUGUGUAGCGUUGAAAUGCGUAGAUAUAUGGAGGAACACCAGUGGCGACGGCGACUCUCUGGUCUGUAACUGACGCUGAGGCUCGAAAGCGUGGGUAGCAAACAGG